rnacentral:rRNA from 1 species
AUUGAACGCUGGCGGCAUGCCUUACACAUGCAAGUCGAACGGCAGCACGGGUGCUUGCACCUGGUGGCGAGUGGCGAACGGGUGAGUAAUACAUCGGAACAUGUCCUGUAGUGGGGGAUAGCCCGGCGAAAGCCGGAUUAAUACCGCAUACGAUCUACGGAUGAAUGCGGGGGACCUUCGGGCCUCGCGCUAUAGGGUUGGCCGAUGGCUGAUUAGCUAGUUGGUGGGGUAAAGGCCUACCAAGGCGACGAUCAGUAGCUGGUCUGAGAGGACGACCAGCCACACUGGGACUGAGACACGGCCCAGACUCCUACGGGAGGCAGCAGUGGGGAAUUUUGGACAAUGGGCGAAAGCCUGAUCCAGCAAUGCCGCGUGUGUGAAGAAGGCCUUCGGGUUGUAAAGCACUUUUGUCCGGAAAGAAAUCCUUGGCCCUAAUACGGUCGGGGGAUGACGGUACCGGAAGAAUAAGCACCGGCUAACUACGUG